AUUGAACGCUGGCGGCAGGCCUAACACAUGCAAGUCGAGCGAGUGGCGGACGGGUGAGUAAUGUAUGGGGAUCUGCCUGAUAGAGGGGGAUAACUACUGGAAACGGUGGCUAAUACCGCAUACCAUCGGGUGAACCCAUAUGGGAUUAGCUAGUUGGUGGGGUAAAGGCUCACCAAGGCGACGAUCUCUAGCUGGUCUGAGAGGAUGAUCAGCCACACUGGGACUGAGACACGGCCCAGACUCCUACGGGAGGCAGCAGUGGGGAAUAUUGCGCAAUGGGCGCAAGCCUGAUGCAGCCAUGCCGCGUGUAUGAAGAAGGCCUUAGGGUUGUAAAGUACUUUCAGCAGGGAGGCGUUACCCGCAGAAGAAGCACCGGCUAACUCCGUGCCAGCAGCCGCGGUAAUUC
rnacentral:rRNA from 1 species